CGGCUGGUAGAGUUGGGGUUCAUGGCAGAGCUGUUCUGUCACAUGUGGAGAUGGUCUCAAGUUGCGACACAGGACCUGUACAAACCCGAAUCCUUAAGCAUACGGCAAGACUUGUGAGGGAAACUCAGAGACGUCCUCUGUGUGUGUCAACAUGCCAUAUUGUGAGUCAAAUUUGAAUGUGAAAACAUAGAUCCAUGGAGGACCUGUUGUAACUGGCUUGAAAUGUAGUUUCAAAGCAAUGUUUGGACUUUUUAUAGUUGAAGUUUUAACAAUAUCCUGAAAUACUGACUAUGGUGAAAAUUCUUAAACAAUUAAGUAGAAUGUGGAAAUCAACAUUUUGUGUGUCAACAAGUCUAAAAGAGGAAUUCAGUGAGUUAUGAAGUGGCGGUUUUGGAAAUGCUUUGAACUAUUAAACUGGUUUGUAUUGUUUUUCUUUGCAUUGUUUUCUUAUAAGGUUAUGUUUAAUUUAAUGAUAAUGUUUUGUUAAACAGUUACACAUGUCUGUUUUGGAGGGUGAUUAACAUUUAAAAUAAAUGAUUAAACCAA